CGAGGGAGAAACAUGGAGGACGUUCUACACCAAAACAGAGCAGCAGCAGCAGCAGCAGCAGCUUGAAACCGUGAAACGGUGAAAGAAAACAGACAUUUGGCUCAGUUAGCUUUCUGAAUGUGUUCAGCUCAACAGUUAAUGUGGUGUUCUGUCAAAGUAAAAUGUCUCUAAGUGCGUCGUGUGAGUCUGUUUCUCAGAAGAGGACUCUGUCGAGCCUCCUCGAUGGUCGUGUGGUGAAGAGGCCAAAGCCAGGAGAUGGGCAGCGGCUGCAGGAGGCCGCGAUCCAGCUGCUGGAGCAGCAGCAGGACCUCUGCAGCCUGUUCAGGGAGGUCGGGAAUCCAGAUCCAUGCAUCAUUUUCCGUGCUCAGAAUGGGGAAAAGAAACUGACUUCAUCUGAUGGCAUCUCCUCUGUGGUUGCUGGCUCACUGCUGGCGUGUGAGCUGAGGCGUCAGGCUGCACUGCUGGGUGUCUCAGUGACGGUGCUGUCAGUGAAGAUGGUGCUGGAGAGACUGAUGGAGAUCACAAAGGAAACAGGUGAACGGAAGGAGGAAGAGGAGAAGAGGAGACC
rnacentral:lncRNA from 1 species